rnacentral:rRNA from 1 species
UACGUAGGGUGCGAGCGUUAAUCGGAAUUACUGGGCGUAAAGCGUGCGCAGGCGGUUUUGUAAGUCAGAUGUGAAAUCCCCGGGCUUAACCUGGGAAUGGCAUUUGGGACUGCAAGGCUCGAGUGCGGCAGAGGAGACUGGAAUUCCUGGUGUAGCAGUGAAAUGCGUAGAGAUGCGGAGGAACACCGAUGGCGAAGGCAGCCCCCUGGGCUGACACUGACGCUCAGGCACGAAAGCGUGGGGAGCAAACAGG